UACGUAGGGUGCAAGCGUUGUCCGGAAUUAUUGGGCGUAAAGAGCUCGUAGGCGGUCUGUCGCGUCGGCUGUGAAAACCCGGAGCUCAACUCCGGGCCUGCAGUCGAUACGGGCAGACUGGAGUUCGGCAGGGGAGACUGGAAUUCCUGGUGUAGCGGUGAAAUGCGCAGAUAUCAGGAGGAACACCGGUGGCGAAGGCGGGUCUCUGGGCAGUAACUGACGCUGAUGCACGAAAGCUAGGGGAGCAAACAGG
rnacentral:rRNA from 1 species